rnacentral:snRNA from 1 species
GUGCUCGCUUCAGCAGCAUGUAUACUAAAAUUGGAAGGAUAUAGAGAAGAUUAGCAUGACCCCUGCUCAAGGAUGACAUGCAAAUUCAUGAAGCCUAAUUGUUUUUU